AAGUCGUAACAAGGUUUCCGUAGGUGAACCUGCGGAAGGAUCAUUAACACGUAUCCAACGUUAAACCCCCCUGUGAACCUUCAUUGUGCUCCCACGCUUUGUUAGAAAGUGGCAAUCCCUGGUAAAUCAUCGCCGAACAGUUUUGAUUCAGGGACUUCUGCGAAGAGGGUGAAUGAGGCGAGGCAAUGGACCUGGCAUUCCUCUGCUUGUUGGUGUCUGAAAGUGUCACUAACUCUGUACGAAUGGCGCAGUCACGUUCGCUGGAGGCCGACACGGCCGGCGACCGGGUCCCUGAGCUCUGCUCCCGCUGUUACGUCAAAACCCCAAGUUCCCCUCUAGUGAAAGCUAUUGGGUUAUAACUAAACGACUGUUAACAAUGGAUAUCUCGAUUCUC
rnacentral:misc_RNA from 1 species